CCUACGGGUGGCAGCAGUGAGGAAUAUUGGUCAAUGGCCGGAAGGCUGAACCAGCCAAGUAGCGUGAGGGACGACUGCCCUAUGGGUUGUAAACCUCUUUUAUAAGGGAAGAAUAAAUGCUACGUGUAGCAUUAUGCCUGUACCUUAUGAAUAAGCAUCGGCUAACUCCGUGCCAGCAGCCGCGGUAAUACGGAGGAUGCGAGCGUUAUCCGGAUUUAUUGGGUUUAAAGGGGGCGUAGGUGGUUUUUUAAGUCAGUGGUUAAAGGUUGGGGCUUCACCUUGAUUUGCCAUUAAUACUGGAAGACUCGAGUACAGACGAGGUAGGCGGAAUAAGUGAAGUAGCGGUGAAAUGCUUAGAUAUAACUUAGAACUCCGAUAGCGAAGGCAGCUUACCAGACUGCGACUGACGCUGAUGCACGAGAGCGUGGGUAUCGAACAGGAUUAGAUACCCCAGUAGUC
rnacentral:rRNA from 1 species